AAAACCCAAAUAAUAAACAUGGGUUUUUACUCAAGUUUCAAGAAUAUUUGUUUGUUGGAGACAUCGUGACGUAUAAAGGGAAAGAAGCCAUAGUUUAGAAGUAGCUAUUUAAAAAUGCCUGAUCUCCUUUGUUUAAAUCUGGAUCUUGCUGCUGGAUCUGUAAACACAGGAGGAAGAAGUGUCUCCUCAGCUCUUCACCUUCCAUGAGGCCGUGUCACAGUUGGUGGAGAUGGAGGAGCAGGUCCUACUAGAGGACCACAGAGCUGUUUUCCAGGAGUCUAUCCGGUGGCUGGAAGAUCAAAAGGUGCUGCUAGAGAUGACGGAGGAGGUGGAUUUUUGACUUGGAGUCUCGCGCCACGCAGCUGGAGCAGAUCCUAGAGCGAAACAUAGAAAUCUUCACUAAGCUCCGAGAUGAAGUGAAGUCAUUCCGUUCACUGCAGGAGGAGAAGCAAGCCUUACGCAAGCACGUGGAAAACUUGGAAAAGCACCAUGUAAACUCCAUGCUUCACUGCCAAUCUUGUGAUGUCAAACAGAAUGUGGAUGCAAUAAAUA